rnacentral:rRNA from 1 species
CAUGGAGUUUGAUCCUGGCUCAGAUUGAACGCUGGCGGAAUGCUUUACACAUGCAAGUCGAACGGUAGAGGGGGCAACCCCUUGAGAGUGGCGAACGGGUGAGUAAUAUAUCGGAACGUGCCCAGUCGUGGGGGAUAACGUAGUGAAAAUUACGCUAAUACCGCAUACGAUCUAAGGAUGAAAGCGGGGAUCGCAACGCCUCGCGCGAUUGGAGCGGCCGAUAUCAGAUUAGGUAGUUGGUAGGGU